rnacentral:rRNA from 1 species
AGUGAACGCUGGCGGUAGGCCUAACACAUGCAAGUCGAACGGCAGCACAGUAAGAGCUUGCUCUUACGGGUGGCGAGUGGCGGACGGGUGAGGAAUACAUCGGAAUCUACUUUUUCGUGGGGGAUAACGUAGGGAAACUUACGCUAAUACCGCAUACGACCUACGGGUGAAAGCAGGGGAUCUUCGGACCUUGCGCGAUUGAAUGAGCCGAUGUCGGAUUAGCUAGUUGGCGGGGUAAAGGCCCACCAAGGCGACGAUCCGUAGCUGGUCUGAGAGGAUGAUCAGCCACACUGGAACUGAGACACGGUCCAGACUCCUACGGGAGGCAACAGUGGGGAAUAUUGGACAAUGGGCGCAAGCCUGAUCCAGCCAUACCGCGUGGGUGAAGAAGACCUUCGGGUUGUAAAGCCCUUUUGUUGGGAAAGAAAAGCAGCAGGUUAAUACCCCGCUGUUCUGACGGUACCCAAAGAAUAAGCACCGGCUAACUUCGUG